CUUGAAAUUGGAGUUACACUCAGUUCACUGCUGUGAUUUUAUGGGCUGUUGUUUAGAAGGCUGAACCAUGUUCUCUGGGAUCCUUGUGGUGGUGUUGCUGGUCCUCCUCAUGUGUAGACGGGUGCUAUGGCAAGCUUUAUGCAUCCUUCUUCAUCACAUAUUGUUCAAGAGAUCUGCAAGGACUGGAAGAGUUAACCGUAAAAGACAGCCUGGACAGAAAACAUAUGAAUAAUAAAUAUGAACUAAUAUUUUUAGCUAAAAUAAUUUUUAUUAAUUUCUUUGUUACAUGUUCUGCUUUUGUAUGUCAAAAAGACAUGAACCUGUUGAUUACAUGCCAACAGAUUAAAGACUCAUCCAGAGUGCUA